rnacentral:rRNA from 1 species
GAUCAUGCUCAGGAUGAACGCUAGCUACAGGCUUAACACAUGCAAGUCGAGGGGCAGCAUGGUCUUAGCUUGCUAAGGCCGAUGGCGACCGGCGCACGGGUGAGUAACGCGUAUCCAACCUGCCUUACACUCUUGGACAGCCUUCUGAAAGGGAGAUUAAUACAAGAUGUUAUCAUGAGUAAGCAUUUUCACAUGAUUAAAGGUUUACCGGUGUAAGAUGGGGAUGCGUU